UAACUCCUGCGGUGUGCGUGUUAUCGGAAAUGCCUUGAGCCAACGUUCUUAUCCCGCGGAGGGCCGCUCCAGACCGGCGGAAGCGACGAAAGUUGCGCAAGCUAAGGACUGGGGGCACUCCAUUCCUUUUAGGAGCGGGUCAAGGCACUCCAUCCACGGCAUUGCGGGGUUUAU
rnacentral:other from 1 species